rnacentral:rRNA from 1 species
CAACGCGCAUUGGAUGGGAACCUGCGGAAGG